GGGUGAUCACUGCUGGAGUGAUGAUGCAGGCACACAGAAGCAGAGCUGGGUCUUCCCCCAGGGCUCAGUCUGGGCCAGCCUCGGCAGUUUUUGGCUGCCACAUGGAAGACCACACAAAGCGCGUCCAGCCCGUCCCACUCCCAGCCAUGCAGCAGAACUUGAACUAUAUGUACCCACAGAUCUUUUGGGUGGAUGGCUGUGCCGACGCCAGUACCUCCUGCCAUCCAGCAUCCCCUGUCGCUCCCUUCCCACCACCGGUACCUGAUCGGAGGAAAAAGCCAAAGAGCAGCAAAGAGAGGAGCAGUGUCAGCUUCCUGGUGAUCUUCUUGCUGAUCCUGCUGGCCCUCACUGGAGCGGGGCUGAGCAUGUUUCAGAUUUUCCACCUGGAGAAGGAACUGGCUGAACUCAGAGAGUCUGUCAACGCAGAUCGCAUCCCUCCAGCUCUGGAGAAGCUCAUAGGGCAGGAGAGCAAGCCAGUGAAAAAGGAAGCAAGGAAGGCAGCACACUUAACAGGAAACCCCACACAGCGGAACCUCCCAUUGGAGUGGGAACCUGUCUCUGGUCAUGCCUUCACCAGUGGCAUUCAGUACCGUGACCAGGGCCUUGUGAUCAAUGAGACUGGUCUGUACUUUGUGUACUCCAAUGUGCUCUUCCGGGGAAGGCACUGUGACAACGAGGUGUUGACCCAUGUUGUCUACAAGAGAAACCCAGCUUCACCAGGCAGCCACGUGCUGAUGGAGGACAAGCGCAUCAACUACUGUACAAAAGAGAAAAUGUGGGCCCGGAAAAGCUACCUGGGGGCUUUAUUCAAGCUCAGAGAGAGGGACAGUCUGUAUGUCAACGUUUCCAGAAUUGAUCUGGUUAACUCUGAGGAAUCCAAGACAUUCUUUGGCUUAUUUAAGCUUUAAGUGGUGCUGUUGGAGUGUGGCUGGCAGCACCCCGCACACCAGGACAUGCAGGGCGUGAGGGCCACUUGUGUGGCAACAGUCCUAUGUUGCCAAAACCGAAGCAGGGUCUCAAUCUAGGAAACCCAUCAAGAAACCAUGUUUCAGCCUUCUGCAUGAGCAGGCUCAAGCAACUGAUGAAGGCUUGAAACCACACCUCUGGGAAGCACCUGGACUGUCCUCUCUCUGAAGAGAAUCACGCAUUUUCUUCCUCUGAAUAAAACCACCACCCUGAAAUGUAGUGCAUCAGAGACCCUGUUGAAACUCACUACUUGCUCAAGAAGACUGCUACCUGAGAAAGUGCCAGGGCCUCAGCGGCACUGACCCACACAUGCUGUUGUGCCUCCAGUGAGCUCAGGCCAUUUGAGGACAGCUGGCCUGUGUCCAGAAGGCCCCUCAGUCUGAGUUGUGCUGUGUCACACCAUGGGCGGUGAUGUGGGAGUGAGCUCAGGCUGCCUUCCCUGAGCAAUGGUCUGCCCAUCCCACCUGGACACUUGGCACUGUAACUUGUCUGACAGGCACCCACCUACCAGCUGGCUUCUUAAGCAUGACUUCUGUUUUGCCUACACGAGGUGAGAUCUGGACGCUGCAGAGUGUGAGCACCACAAUGGCUGAAUUUGCAAGACCUGGUGAAAAAGUGGCUUAGGAGGCCCAAAUCUGCAGUGUCUUCACAACCACAAUUCUUCAGUAUCUUGCCUGAUUGAAGAGUGACAGAUUAAGCUGGCUGCUGCGUUUUCUUCUCUGCCUAUGCUAUGGGUUUCCAAAGACGUGUCAACACGAAUCUGACCAGCUGCAGCCUUCAGGACAGACUCCUGUGCCGGUACUGGAUGGAAAGACUGUUGAAUAUUUUUACCAUGAGACCACAGGAAUGGUCUGUGCCAGCACUGGGGUAUGCCCCCGCCCAUGACGUCCCCAGCCCUGCCAUUGCUGCCAACUCUACGCCUGCAACCCCAGUGGCUGAGACUGGGAAAGAUGACCUCCCCCACUCAUCUGGCUGAUGGCCAUAUCACACCUUCAUCAGCCUUUGGGGGGAGUGAUUCCCACCCUGCAUGUGGGUGGAGGCUGUCUGUGUCCUCGUCCUGCUGUGUCCUGCCUCGGGUCUCUGCCCCCUGGUGCUCUGACUCACCAAGAUGAGUCUGAAACAAAGAGCUCUCAUAAAAUCUACAGGAAGAUGUAUGUGAAGAUAGAGAUCUCAUUUACCCAGACACCACCAACUCCUCCCUGGGACCAGCACAUGGAAAAGCAGCACUCGUGCCCAGCAAGACCCCAGACCUGCUCCCUGGUUGUCAUUGUCGGAAACCAUCAAGGAAUGAGCCAGCAAAGGCCAGGAAGGAUUCCAUGAGUAAUAAUCUUGGAGCUUUGCCCAGGCUUAUUAACAGAAUAACAAACAAGCAUAAAAGGAGAGCAGGCAGUACACAAGAGGUCUCCAGUGGCUGCAGGAUCUAUGAAGAUUUGGCUGUUGAUGCUUGUUUUACGGCAAUUGGCUCUUCAGGGACCAGCUCAUCCCUUGAGUAUCUCAGUGGAGGAUGGCGUUCUGUAUGUGGCAUACCAUCUUCUUGGCCUCUUCCAACUCCAAGACUCCAGUAAUGCAAAUUGUCCCCAUCAUUGCCCAAGUGGAGAGAGAAGAGGCCAGAGCCCCUGAAACCAGCAGUAAUAUGCAAGGCAGAGGGUGCAGCACAAGGCUGGAGAUAUGGGCAUGUUCUCAGCCAGGCUGGCACAGCCCAGGGUGAGUGGCAACUUCCUCCACACUGCCCCCUCCAACCCAGCAUCUGCCAUGCCAUGACUUAGCUGAGAUCUCAGUUUCAAAACUGACAGCCCAUACCUGUAGCUCCCUAGGCUGUGUUUUUCAUGGCAGCUCCAGGAACACAGUAUUAGGAACCUGCAGCACCUCACACAGUACAACCCCACCUCUGCACCCAGGUGAAGGGGAAUACAAUAUUGUCACCUACUCAUUCAAUUCCUUCUGCCUCCCUGGUGCUUUGCUGUUUUCCUUUGGGAACAGGGAUGCUGAAGAUGGCAGGACCACACCAGCUGUUUUGGAAACAAGAUGCCUGCACUCGGGUGCAGCACAAACUGUACUUGAGUGCGUCAGCAGUGCUGCCUUUGCAGGAGGCGGGAGUGAAACUGAGAAAUGUGAAGCAAAGGAAUAAUGCAGCUGCUGUGUGAACAGCUCCAGGAUGCUCUGCUCACCCGUGAGUGGGGGUGUGAGGACAGGCAGUGGCCACCUCCUUUCCCUGCCAAUGUGGGCCAGGGAAGGGAGCCAUGCCCCCUCUGCCAGGUGCCUUGCUACUCCAUGGGGCACAGCCCUGCUGUAGGGCAGGAACACAGCCAGCUAGUAAACAGUAGCCAAGGAAGCACAGCCACAGGAGGGAAGCACACAGCUGCAACGUAAGAGAAUACUAGAGGCAGUCCAGAGGAGCUGCAGGUGCCCAAGUCCAGGUUGGAUGGGGCCCUGAGCAGCCCCAUCUGGUGGGGGGCAGCCAGCUCAGGGCAAGGGGUUGGAACUGGGUGAGCAUUUAAGAUCCCUUUCAACCCAAACCAUUCUGUGAUUCUAUGAAAGCCUACUAAAGCCCAGAAUACUGUUAUAUCUAAACAUCAACCCUGUAAGUUGCAAGUGGAUGAGGAGGGAGAGAAAGCUGGUGGGUGAGCAUUAGUCUGAAACCAAUACUUAAUCUGUUCCAGGCUUUAAAAACAAACAAAUAUGACAAUUUGAAACAAUCUUCUGGUGAGUAUUUUGGAGAAAGUGAGGGCAGAGAUAAAUACAAAGCAGGCUGAUCUGCCUUGUGAUUUCUUUCUGGUGGGAAAAUAGCAUUUCUAAUAAGAAAUGAAAGUGUCAGUGGAAAACGUCUGAAAUGUUGCUUUUCCCUAAAGCAACACAACAGUACCUGCUACCAUCAGCAUUUCACACAUUUUAUAACAAAGUACAAAUAUCUGAGAAGUAGGUAGCAACACCUACUCCCUGCUGGCUUUGCCAAACCUUGGCUGGAAGACCUGAGAUAGACAUCAAGUGCCCUAGGAGACUGCUGUUGUCCAGCAGACAAAUGGUAGAUAAGCCUGCUUGAGGGCUUGCCAGCAGCUGCAGCAGGGUGACAACUCUGGCAGACAAUGGGACAACUCCUGAGACAGGGCCAAGCCAGCACGUAGGAUGUAUCAGCACUUUACUGCAUGACACAUGGCAGGAGGCAUAAGGAAGAGUGAGGAAAAGGGGCCACAGCUCAUACUUGGAUAGGAACACAGCUGCAGCACUCUAGAGGAAGGGCUGAAGGUCACCAUAGGGCUUAAAAAGGUUAUGGCUUGCUCCAUGGCACAACCAGCAGCCCUUCUUAUAGGCAAAGGUGGCCCCAGCUCCCCUUCUCUUUCUGCUUAUCAAAGUGGAGUUUCAGAAGUGGCGUGUCAUUGCACAGAAACAGAUAUCUGAUUCCGAGCACUUUUAAAUGCAACAAAGACAUA